GGGGUUGUGGCUUAGCGGUAGAGCACUCGUUUCGCACGUGCGAGACCCUGGGUUCGAUCCUCAGCACCACA
rnacentral:tRNA from 1 species